rnacentral:tRNA from 1 species
GCCGAGGUGCUGGAAUUGGUAGACAGGCUAGGUUGAGGGCCUAGUGUAUUCAGGUACGUGCGGGUUCGAGUCCCGCCCUCGGCA